rnacentral:tRNA from 5 species
GGCACUUUGGCGGAGUGGUUAACGCGAUGCCCUGCUAAGGCAUUUCCCUCGGGAGCGUGAGUUCGAAUCUCACAGGUGUCG